AAUAUGACAAAAUAUCUACUAAUUAUUGAUGUGGCGUUGAAAAAGACACGAUUAGAGACUUAAAAAAAUCGAAUUUUUUUAAAAAUAUUUAAUAUAUGAAACUUUUUGAGUUUUGCUGGAAAAUACUGCUAAAAAUAUGUGUUAAUAACUUGGUUAUGGGAAUAAGAAGCUCAAUGUUGCCAGAUCAUACCAACAGUACUGGACUCGCCACAAUGUUAAAAAAGUCAAAUAUUUUAUAGGAGUUUCACUUUGAGCAAAAUUAUGGAUUUAACUUACAUAAACUCCCAACAUAAAUAUCAAAUUUGAUAUGCAGAACGUUCCUAAGAUUUGAAAAAAAAUAUAAGUCAUCAUUCUCUCCCCGCGCUGGUUCUUCUUGAGCAAAACGCAGAAAAUAGUAAGUAAUUGAGCAGCACAGCUCAACACUGAUCCUAUGAUUAUAAUUUCUGGUCCGUACGUUCCGUUAUUUCUAGUAUGAGAUCCGUAAUAGACGUACAUUAUAUUGUCGAUGAAGUCGUGAUCUCUUAGGUCGGGAUCAGCGAGGGAAUCGUCUGGAAGUUCGACGUUGGGAAGAACAUCUACCGUAUAUUUCGAUUGGAGGUUUUGGUGAUUUGGUAGAACUAAAGAUUUUGGAUUCGGUUCAAGAUUAACGGAAUUGUUGUCGAUUUCGUAAUCAUAGUUUAAAUAGUAGUCGUCUUCGUUGAGUUUGCGGUUAUUUGAGACAUUUUUUGUACCUACAAUUGAAAGUUUAACUAAAAUAUAACAAAGUGCACGACGGUCAGUGGUAUCAAAAUUCUUUUAUAUAUAUAUUUAAUGUAAUAUAUGCAAUGCCCUAAUUGUAGAGACGUCACUUUCUUUCAUUUGUUAUUUCACUGACAUGAAGUAGUUUCGCCAUCUUGCUUUUUGAGAUUAGUGUUGUUUCGAUUGUUACGAAAUAAAUUAGAAGCGGUGGAGGUUUUCCAUCAUGUGAUUCAAUCUACGAUUUAUCGAACACAUUUUCUACAUACUAUCUUCUAUCCAUAGAAAUCACACAUAACAACAUAAGAUCGAUUGUCUCCUCCACAAGACAUAUGUAAUAGUUUCUUUAAUUUGACGGUGGUACUAGUAAAAAGAGACAAACAUAUAAUUGACGUAACGUGAAUAACUGAUCUGUGUGUUUUAAGCGAUUUUUUGUAUUAAACGUGUAUAUAUUGUUAUAGAAUCAGUUCUUUUAACAUCGUAAAUUCGGAAUCGCUGGGAAAGGGUUCGUUGCGGAUUUUAGAUUUUUACGAAUUUUAGAUCACACUAACAUUUGAAUGCAUUUAUGGUGGCGUCAUCUAUCGCGUUAAUGAGGAAUCAUAUCGCAUUACAUAAUAAUGUAAACAGAGGUAGAGGUAUGCAUAAAAUAUAAUAAAAUCGCAACACAUUUAUAAAAUAAUAAAAAGAUUAAAUACUUUAUAAACGUAUUCUUCAUGCUAUCGAUAUGUAUGGUUUCGCCAUCUAGUGUCAAAUACGGAAGUUAAAAAUUACGAUACAAACGUAUCAUUCCGGAUUUACGAUGUUCAACUGUAUAAUACAUCAUCAACUUGUAGUAAUUUUUUGACAUUUUAUAAUAACUGAAAUGCUGUGGGAAUAUUACAAUACUUAUGUUAAUACUUUCCUGAAGCCAACUCACAGUUAGAAUAAAAUUAAGAAAAAUUAUUAUAUACAGGUUGAUUUUUCAUCAGUUGCUUAUAGUGUGGUAUCUGAAAUUAUUAGAAAAUUGGUAAUUUAAUGUAAGUUUGAUCAUAGAGGUUUUAACUAAUAAAGGUUUUAGCUUAUGCAUUUCAACGUUUCUAAUUUUGUAACAGCAAACGGGAAGUCAAGCUAAUAAAUCAGUUUAAGGCCAUUUAUAGUUGCCGUUUGACGUCAUACGAGUAUGGUGCUCACGUGAUUGAAGAUCACUUUUAUCAAAGUUGUUAAUUAUUAGAUUUGUUAUAUGAUUGAAUAAUAUGUUCUCAAUGUUAUUAGCUUAACAUUUAGAUAACGCCAUCUAGCGACAAUAAUAAGAUUAUUAUGAAAACUACAGGUAUGCCAAUGUGUAAUGAUACUUUAAUUAAAAAAUAAAAAAGUUUCAAAAUUCAAAUACAGGUGAUACUAUAAGUGUUAUAUACAAUUUAACACCUUUUUGCUACAAUCACAAAAGAUACCAUCUAUCUCUCCUCCAUGAAAGGUACGUUAUAUGAUUAUACGUAAGAGUGUAAUGUGUACUAUAUUACCGAUCCACAAAAAUAUUUGUUGUAUAUUCAACAGAUGGCGUUAUGAAUGAAAUUUAUAUAUAUUGAAAAAUUAUUAUCUUUGAUUACAAUAUUUUCAAAACGAUUACUAAAUGCUGUGAAUAAAGACAAUGUUUGAUAAAUUGGCAAAACCACAGUUUUUAUUUUCGAAAAAAUAAUCAUUAUGAACCAGUUUUAAGCAAAGUAGAUGUUUUUUUAAUUACGUAUAAGAAUUUAAAUUUGAAUAUUUAUUUAUAUUGAUAUGAAAUUGUUCUAUUUUAAUUUGUAGUUUGACCUUAAUAGAAGCUAAUUGUUAAUAAAAUCUAAAGCUAUUGUUUUUCUUAAACUAUCUUCAUUCGGACUACCAAAAUAACGAACUAUCCAUUCUAAAACUUGAAAUUAGUAGAAUUUAAGCAUGCCACUUACCUACAACACAACUACUAGCACAAAACAAACAAAUUAUUAACAAUAAAUUCAUUUUUAAUUAUCUACUGCUAAAAAUCCUGAUUUCUAGUAAGUAGCUCCAUAGGGAAGCUGCGAAUCGGCACAAAUCAAACACUCAUCGUUCAAAAUAAGGAAAUAUCGUAAAAUUUUCGUUUGGUCAACUAUUAUAAGGAUAAAUCGUUCGAUCUGUCAAACUGUGGUUGGUAUAUCGAUAGAAAAUUAUCCGGAAAACUAAACUGGACGAUUGUAAGGCGUAUGCGCCAAACUCUAAUCAAUAAAGCUAAAAAGUAUAUAGUUAUUAGGAUUAAAAAGUGUUUAAUUUUGACUUAAUUUUUGUUUUGGAUCAUUUUCGGAAGCAACAUUUUUUUAAUGAACGUAUAUAGUGUUUAGUAGCGUGUAGAGAUUUGAAAUAGUUUUGAGGUUAUUUAUUUUAGUUUGUUGAAAGAUAAAUUUUGUUCUUAAGUAUUAUAAUUAAUAAAUAAUUUUAUCACAUUUCAAAAAUGUAUCCACUUGUUUAAAUUAUUCGAUUAUCAGGCAAAUAGUGAGCAGCAAGAUUUUAGCACUUGUAAAUAUACGUAACGAAGCGAAAACGGAGAUGGAUAGGUUACAACAGGCAAAAGGAAAAGAUGCGGACCUGUAUGAACAAGAAGAACUUUUUGCAACCGAUAGACUUGGGAACAUGGAGGAAGACUACAGAAAUAGCGAUAAACAGAAGGAAAUGAGAAGCUUUCGUCAAGAAAAUUGUACAGAAGUAUGGGGGUAGCAACCCCAAUCAGCUGAUGACGAUGAUUAAUUCUUCGAUAUAGUUUAAUAUAUGUAAUUACAUUUAUUUAAAUUAAUUUGUUUUACCUGAAAAAGGGGUAGGUUCAAUAAAAGACACUUAGUGUUAAAGGGGAAAAAUUUAUUGAAUUUCUGAGAAAUCACAAUUUAUAAUAACACUAAUAAUAAAAAAAAUUGCGCACCUUAACAAUAACGUGGACUCUAAAUAAAAAAAAAUUUCCCCGUUUU